rnacentral:rRNA from 1 species
GUGAACGCUGGCGGUAGGCCUAACACAUGCAAGUCGAACGGCAGCACAGUAAGAGCUUGCUCUUACGGGUGGCGAGUGGCGGACGGGUGAGGAAUACAUCGGAAUCUACUUUUUCGUGGGGGAUAACGUAGGGAAACUUACGCUAAUACCGCAUACGACCUACGGGUGAAAGCAGGGGAUCUUCGGACCUUGCGCGAUUGAAUGAGCCGAUGUCGGAUUAGCUAGUUGGCGGGGUAAAGGCCCACCAAGGCGACGAUCCGUAGCUGGUCUGAGAGGAUGAUCAGCCACACUGGAACUGAGACACGGUCCAGACUCCUACGGGAGGCAGCAGUGGGGAAUAUUGGACAAUGGGCGCAAGCCUGAUCCAGCCAUACCGCGUGGGUGAAGAAGGCCUUCGGGUUGUAAAGCCCUCUUGUUGGGAAAGAAAAGCAGCAGGUUAAUACCCCGCUGUUCUGACGGUACCCAAAGAAUAAGCACCGGCUAACUUCGUG